AUUUAUUAUAUAUUAUAUGGUGCAGCUCUUCAGUUCGUAGCUGGUUGCAGAAGUAUGUCCUUUUCUUUCCGUGGCGCUGGUAUUGUGAUGUAGUCUAGCAGGGCGUCUAGAGGAAAACCCGGGCACUGGGCUAUUAAAUGUGAAGGAACAGGAUGAGACAGAUGACAUGAAUAGUCAUCAGACUGAAAUACAUUGGUCCCUCCCUGCCGACGCAGAUAACGCUGAUAUAGUGAAAGUUGAGAUAACAGAAGAUCUGUACACGUGUGAUCAGGUGAAGACUGAGGAGGAUGAAGUUCCUAUAAAUACGGCUACAGGCUGGAAAAUCACACUCACUAUGUAAGGAAUGUGUUGGUGAGAACUGGGUGGAGCCUAGCAGCACACACGGAUGGAUGUGUGAGAGCUGAGCUCCGGUAUGUGAUACAGCAAAAUAGGUGGAUAAUGCCGAACAGAUGCAUACCAAGAGGCUAAGAAGGCACUAAGGUUGGUGGCACAGUUCCCGGCUAUAGUCCUGAGAGGAAAAUCUCCAAGAAAAAGGGAAGAAAAUCGCCUGAUAGCACUCUUGCACAGAACGAAUAUAUACAGUGGAGGCCACGCGCAGCUAACUUAAAUCUAUCUCGGAGCAGAACAGGAGUGACUGUUGAUGGUUCCGGCUACAUUGAUCGAUAUGACACCAAGAUGCAAAGCCCAUACAAGAGGUAACCGGGUUUACAGGGAACACAAACCACAAGUGGGGGACACAAAACAAUAAUGGUGAAGCGUUACAGAAAGAGCGCCAAGAUACGCACAUAAACAUCUCUCAGGCUGGCAAGCUUAGUCUUUGGUGAUCAUUGAGACACUACUAUUUUUGAUUUUGCACACAACCAUGACUAUAAUACCUCAAUGAAAAGAUUACAGAUUGUGCAGAUACGGUAGUGAUGAUAUAUAAAGCAAGCUGCAGGAACUGCACACAUCAGCAGAAAGUAAACUGCCAUUGAAAAAACUGAACACCAUCACCGCUGGCAAUUAUGAUAAACCCCACUGAUGUUUCUGCAAAGGAGAACUGAGCCACAAAUGUAAUCCUGAUACAAUAAGCGGGACAUUGUCUCUCAGUAAGAAUAUCUGAGGGUAAAAAAUAUAUAUAUUAAUCAUUCUGCACAGAAACGAUUGAGAUAACCUGCACUCCUGGCCUGGUUCACAAUGUCUACCAGAAGGUUUCAGAAAACUGACAAACUCAUUAAGCUUACUUAUAUGGAUACAUUUCUUAGAUCCAAUGCAGCUCAUAAACAGCUAGAAACUACCUCAAUGGAGGCAGAAGAGGAUUCUGACUUAGAAUCUGAACAAAGCAAGCCUAUAGAUGAUCAAACACCGGUAACCAAAGCCGACCUCAGCAUGCUAGUGUCAAAGCAGGACAUUGCAUCAAAUUUUGAAAAACUCUGGGAUAAAAUUGAUAGUUUCCAUACCACAGUGACUAGCAGAUAUAAAAAAUGAGAUGCUUGAAAUGGGAAACAGGGUGGAAGCCCUAGAAAAUGACAAGGAAGAUAUUGAGGAAAAUGUAGCUGUCAUGUCGCAGACAAUCUCCCUCCAGCAACAACAAAUAGAUGACCUCCAAGACAAAAUGGAGGACAUUGAGAAUCGCACUAGGAGGUCGAAUCUCCGGAUAAAGGGUAUACCGGAAUCGAUUGGACCAGCUGACCUUUUGUCUUAUUUGCAAGGCCUCUUCAAAGCUAUCACAGUGGCUACGGAUGACACAGAAUACCAUAUCGAGAUAGCCCACAGAGCACUCGGGGCCAGACCGCAGAAAGAUAUGCCACCAAGGGAUGUAAUCAUCAAAUUCCUCAGGUUUCUUGAUAAAGAGAAAAUCUUGAAUGCAUCUCGGAAGAACCCCACGUUUAAAUACCAGGGGAAGGUGGUGCAAUUUUUUCAAGAUUUCUGCGUGAAAACACUGCAGCGACGAAGCAAACUUCGACCAUUAACCUCAUUGCUCAGAAAACGCCAGAUCACAUAUCGCUGGGGCUUUCCAUUUGCCCUUUACAUACUUAAAGAUGGUAAGAUAACUUCAAUCAAGACAAUACAGGAGAUUCCUGGGGUGUGCAGGACCCUAGGUAUAGAAACACCGGACAUACCGCCUGACCCCGAUCUCGGGGAGAAGAGAGGGACACAAACCUUAACACAUCCUCUCGAGAUCCAGUUGGAUAAAAGUGAAUAAUAAACGAUCCAAGACAUGAUACCUUAUCUGACUGGAACUUUACUGGAAACAGAUCGAAUUUGGGAGAUUGGUGAGACUCUCUUCUAAACACUAUCAGGGUUGUAUUUUAGAGACU